GGCCUAAUGGCCCAAUGGCAAGGCGCUUGACUACGAUUCCAAUGUAAUCAAGAGAUUCCAGGUUGUAAGUUUGACCCUUGCUUUCCCA